CGGCCGCGUCGACCCUUACCAGGACUUGACAUGUCGCGAAUCCAGUGGAAACACAGGAGUGCCUUCGGGAGCGCGAACACAGGUGGUGCAUGGCUGUCGUCAGCUGUGUCGUGAGAUGUUGGGUUAAGUCCCGCAACGAGCGCAACCCCUAUUGUUAGUUGCCAUCAUUAAGUUGGGCACUCUAACGAGACUGCCGGUGAUAAACCGGAGGAAGGUGGGGAUGACGUCAAAUCAUCAUGCCCCUUAUGACCUGGGCUACACACGUGCUACAAUGGAUGGUACAACGAGUCGCGAGACAGUGAUGUUUAGCUAAUCUCUUAAAACCAUUCUCAGUUCGGAUUGUAGGCUGCAACUCGCCUACAUGAAGUCGGAAUCGCUAGUAAUCGCGGAUCAGCACGCCGCGGUGAAUACCGUUCCCGGGCCUUGUACACACCGCCCGUCGACGCGGCCG
rnacentral:rRNA from 1 species